UACGUAGGUGGCAAGCGUUGUCCGGAAUUAUUGGGCGUAAAGCGCGCGCAGGUGGUUCUUUAAGUCUGCUGUGAAAGCCCACGGCUCAACCGUGGAGGGUCAUUGGAAACUGGGGAACUUGAGUGCAGAAGAGGAAAGUGGAAUUCCAAGUGUAGCGGUGAAAUGCGUAGAGAUUUGGAGGAACACCAGUGGCGAAGGCGACUUUCUGGUCUGUAACUGACACUGAGGCGCGAAAGCGUGGGGAGCAAACAGG
rnacentral:rRNA from 1 species